rnacentral:lncRNA from 1 species
CAUUAUGAAGGAGCCUAUAGAGGCGAUGUCUCCGAAAUCUAAAUAUUUUGGAAUUUGAAGAAAGCAGAUGUGGUGCAAAAGAGGCGUGUAAGAGAAGCGAGAGCAAGAGGAGAUGGUCCUAGCACCACAAGAGGAGAUGAUCCUAGCACCACAAAUUGGUUAGGUGAUGAUUUUCCAUUCACGAUGGACUAGGGAAUUUGUUUUUAAUCGGAGCCCAUAAUUUUCCAAUCACUUUGAAUUGUAAUUUCUUAUUUAUUGAAUAGAAUACUUUAUUAUGUUUCCAAUUUAUUGAAUUUAGUACUUUAUUUAAACUAAGAGUAUAUUUAUUUAAUUUGAUAAUUUAUUUAAACUAAGAGAAUCUUUAUUCAAAUGACAUAAACAUACCAAAUAAAAUUACAUAAACAUACCAAAUAAAAUUACAAACACACCAAAUAAAAAAAAACUCACUAAAUGAACUUAAAAAACACACCAAACAAAAUUAAAUAAACACACCAAAUAAAAACAAACACACUAAAUGAACUUAAGUUUCUUGAGCUUGUUUCAAUUCCCACAGGUGCUCAAUCAAGUCAAUUUGCGAGUCAUUGUGCAUAUAUGGGUCCUGAAGUGAAGUAUAUCGUUGAAUAAGCCUUUCAUUAUAACAUCCAUCACUUUGUAAUGGCUCGUGUUGCACGGGUUCUUCAUUGGUGUCAUGCACAUAAUAUAUUUAUGUUUUGGAAUUGUUCAUCGUGUUUGGCUCAUAUUCAUCAACGACAUCAUAAUCGUACUCAUCUUCCACAAUCAUGUUGUGAAGAAUGAUGCACGUCAUCAUGAUGGAUCGAAGCGACUAUAAAUCAAACAUUUUGGCAGCACCCCUGACAAUUACCCAACGAGCUUGGAUGAUACCAAAACAACACUCCACAUCAUUCCUACACCCUUAUUGACAACUUGCAAAGUGUUUUUCCUUUGCAGUUCGUGGACAUGACACUGUUUUGACAAACGAUGACCACCUUG